AAUGAACGUUGGCGGCGUGGAUUAGGCAUGCGAGUCGUACGAGAACCCGCAAGGGGGACAGUGGCGAACGGGGUAGUAAGGCGUAGGUGACGUGCCCUGAGGUCGGGGAUAGCUUAGGGAAACUUAAGGUAAUACCCGAUGAUCCCGGUAGGUUUGAAGACCAUCCGGGCAAAGGUGUGAUUCCACCUCAGGAGCGGCUUGCGUGGUAUUAGCUAGUUGGUGAGGUAACGGCUCACCAAGGCUGCGAUGCCUAGGGGAUGUUAGCGCAUGAUCCCCACCACUGGGACUGAGAUACUGCCCAGACACCUACGGGUGGCUGCAGUCGAGAAUCUUCGGCAAUGGGGGC
rnacentral:rRNA from 1 species